AUUGAACGCUGGCGGCAUGCCUUACACAUGCAAGUCGAACGGCAGCACAGGUGCUUGCACCUGGUGGCGAGUGGCGAACGGGUGAGUAAUACAUCGGAACGUACCUUAUCGUGGGGGAUAACGCAGCGAAAGUUGCGCUAAUACCGCAUACGCCCUGAGGGGGAAAGCGGGGGACCGUAAGGCCUCGCGCGAUUAGAGCGGCCGAUGUCUGAUUAGCUUGUUGGUGAGGUAAAAGCUCACCAAGGCGAUGAUCAGUAGCUGGUCUGAGAGGACGAUCAGCCACACUGGGACUGAGACACGGCCCAGACUCCUACGGGAGGCAGCAGUGGGGAAUUUUGGACAAUGGGGGCAACCCUGAUCCAGCAAUGCCGCGUGAGUGAAGAAGGCCUUCGGGUUGUAAAGCUCUUUUGUCAGGGAAGAAACAGCAGCUCUAACACAGUCUGCGAAUGACGGUACCUGAAGAAUAAGCACCGGCUAACUACGUGCCAGCAGCCGCAGUAA
rnacentral:rRNA from 1 species